AUCAAAGAGAUACUCUCUGCUCCUUUCAAAGGGGUAUUGCUUGUGGCCUCUCAUUGAUUGGCACUACCUGGGCAGAAAUGGGAAAACAGGGAUUCUCUGCCCCCUCCUUUCUUAAGCCAGUCCUUUAGUUCGGAAUCGCCUUGGCCACCAUAAUUAAUAUUUUCAAUAAGAUUAAUUUCUGGUCCAGCUAUCCUGGUCAGCCCAGAAUGCUCGCCACAAAGCCAAGAGACAAGAGGAGUAUCUCCACAAAGAGCAAAGGUUGUGCUGGAUCCAUUUUAUGGAUGAAGAACCAAAGGUAAACAAAAUUUCUCCCAAGUAAGUGA
rnacentral:lncRNA from 1 species